UGGGGAAUAUUGGACAAUGGGGGCAACCCUGAUCCAGCGACGCCGCGUGUGUGAAGAAGGCCUGCGGGUUGUAAAGCACUUUUAGUGGGGAGGAAGGUCUGCGACCUAACACGUCGUGGAAUUGACUUAACCCACAGAAAAAGCACCGGCUAACUCUGUGCCAGCAGCCGCGGUAAUACAGAGGGUGCAAGCGUUAAUCGGAAUUACUGGGCGUAAAGCGUGCGUAGGCGGUUUCGUAAGUCGGGUGUGAAAGCCCCGGGCUCAACCUGGGAAUUGCAUUCGAGACUGCGAAGCUGGAGUGCGGAAGAGGGAAGUGGAAUUUCCGGUGUAGCGGUGAAAUGCGUAGAUAUCGGAAGGAACAUCAGUGGCGAAAGCGACUUCCUGGUCCAGCACUGACGCU
rnacentral:rRNA from 1 species